UACGGAGGGUGCAAGCGUUAUCCGGAUUCACUGGGUUUAAAGGGUGUGUAGGCGGGCUGUUAAGUCAGUGGUGAAAUCUCCGGGCUCAACCUGGAAACUGCCAUUGAUACUAUUAGUCUUGAAUUUUGUUGAGGUAGGCGGAAUAAGUCAUGUAGCGGUGAAAUGCAUAGAUAUGACUUAGAACACCAAUUGCGAAGGCAGCUUGCUAAACAAAUAUUGACGCUGAGGCACGAAAGCGUGGGGAUCAAACAGG
rnacentral:rRNA from 1 species